UGUCACUCCAUCCCUAACAACACAAAGAAGAACAAAAAAAACAGUCGAGUUUGAGGUUUGGUUCAGCUUUGAACACUUCUUCACGUUCUGAGCUGCUUCUUCUCAAUUUCGACAGAAAUUCAGAAAGGGAAGCCAUCUAGAGCAAACAAGUUCAACAGAAUCUGAUAAAGCUUGGAACUUUGCCCCCAUUUCGGUUCUAGAACAAUGUAUUUUGAGCAAGAGGAGGAGGCCUAUGAGCUCACACUCCUCGUGGUACGUGAGGUCUCCGUCUUUAAAAUUCCACUUCGGGUGGUUACAAGUGUGGCGAGUGGCUCCAGAGUGACAGGAUAUGGUCAGGAAGAUUGCGUGUUGUGUCCUGCAAGGAAAGAUGUGAGAUCCGAUUGGAGGAUCCAAGCUCCAGUGAGCUCUUUGCAGCCUGCUUUGUUUAUCCGGGCCAGCGCGAGAACUCAGUGGAGAUGGUGCUUGACUCAUAAUGGUACUUUGUGCUGAAGAUUGAGGAUCGCUGUGGAAAGCAUGCAUUUGUCGGACUAGGGUUUGCUGAACGAAAUGAAGCAUUUGACUUCAAUGUAGCCUUGUCAGACCAUGAAAAAAUAUGUGAAGAGAGAGAAUGAGAGAACUGCCAAUGGUGGCGAGACCAGUGACAAAAACCACAUUGAUAUUCACCCGGCUGUGAAUCAUAGAUUGAAGGAUCUGCAGGAAGGUGAAACUAUGAGGGAAAAUGUCAAGCCCAAGCCUACAAGAGGGACUGGAAUGUUGUCAGCCGCAGGGUCUGGGUCUCCGAAGCCUAAACCAUUGAGCUUUGGUCUCGCCUCGCCUUGGGGGCAGGAAAAAUCAGGUCCCCUCUGCCACCACCUCCCCAUGAUCCGGUUGCUGCUAGAAGCACCUCUGGUGGUGUCAUAUUACCCCAAGAUAACCCAAGGCAUAAUUUCAAGCCUCCUCUGAUGUUUUUCACAUUGAGGUAUGGACAAUGUAUCUCAGUGUUCCUUCCAGAUCUAAUUGUUUAG